rnacentral:rRNA from 1 species
GACGAACGCUGGCGGUGUGCUUAACACAUGCAAGUCGAACGGAAAGGCCCUGCUUUUGUGGGGUGCUCGAGUGGCGAACGGGUGAGUAACACGUGAGUAACCUGCCCUUGACUUUGGGAUAACUUCAGGAAACUGGGGCUAAUACCGGAUAGGAGCUCCUGCUGCAUGGUGGGGGUUGGAAAGUUUCGGCGGUUGGGGAUGGACUCGCGGCUUAUCAGCUUGUUGGUGGGGUAGUGGCUUACCAAGGCUUUGACGGGUAGCCGGCCUGAGAGGGUGACCGGCCGCAUUGGGACUGAGAUACGGCCCAGACUCCUACGGGAGGCAGCAGUGGGGAAUAUUGCACAAUGGGCGGAAGCCUGAUGCAGCAACGCCGCGUGCGGGAUGACGGCCUUCGGGUUGUAAACCGCUUUCGCCUGUGACGAAGCGUGAGUGACGGUAAUGGGUAAAGAAGCACCGGCUAACUACGUG